CCUACGGGGGGCAGCCGUGGGGAAUAUUGCACAAUGGGGGAAACCCUGAUGCAGCGACGCCGCGUGAGUGAAGAAGUAUUUCGGUAUGUAAAGCUCUAUCAGCAGGGAAGAAAAAAGACGGUACCUGACUAAGAAGCCCCGGCUAACUACGUGCCAGCAGCCGCGGUAAUACGUAGGGGGCAAGCGUUAUCCGGAUUUACUGGGUGUAAAGGGAGCGUAGACGGUGCGUCAAGUCUGAAGUGAAAGCCCGGGGAUUAACCCCGGGACUGCUUUGGAAACUGGCGCGCUAGAGUGCUGGAGAGGUAAGUGGAAUUCCUAGUGUAGCGGUGAAAUGCGUAGAUAUUAGGAGGAACACCAGUGGCGAAGGCGGCUUACUGGACAGUAACUGACGUUGAGGCUCGAAAGCGUGGGGAGCAAACAGGAUUAGAUACCCCAGUAGU
rnacentral:rRNA from 1 species